GUGUGCUUAGUGCCUCGAGGGGUCGAGGCACUCAGUGAAAACUUAAAUAAAAUCACUAAAAUAUUAAAUAAAAAUAAAUAAAUAAAUAAAAUAAAAGAUGCAGAGUCUGUUUCAAGAGGGGGCAGAGAAAGGACACCAUCUUUUACUGUGCAGACUAUUUACUGCGCCAGACUAUUUUUAUGAUCAAGUUCAGCCUAUGCAUGGGGGCAUGAGUGUACUCAGAAGGCCUUGCAAAAAACAACCUGGAGUGUUUACUUGCAAUAACCAACAACAGGCUCCCCUAAAUCACACACAAAUGUGUGUGUAAAAAUGAAAAUUUUAAAAUUACUACCACAUUUUAUCCAAUUUUUUUGGUUAAAAUGGUUGCAUCAAAGGCAUCUAAACACUCC